GCAGAAUAAAAGAAUCUUAUUCUGCUGUUUGGUGGUGGAGUGUCCUGUGAAGUCAAUCAGUAGAAGGAAGACUUUGACUUCUGGCUCAAAUGGAAUAAUAGUGACCAGAUUUACCCUCCUGCCUGGUACAAACAAAAGUCCCGAAGAAACAAGACAAAAUAUAACAGUGAGUCUCAUAUACACCUGACAGCGGAGGACAGAGACCUAAGAGACUGGAGAAACCAAGGUCCAACAUCUCAAGAAAGCCACAAAACAUGGUCAACUCAAUUUCUGAGGCAAAUGCCUGAAGUGCCCACUGAGUCAUUAAGGACCAAGGAGAGUAAGGAAACCCAAUGUUCCUCGUGAGAAAGUGAUUUAGAAAUGAUCCCUUAAUUGGUCUUCAAGCUGGGGAAGACCUUGGUCACCUGUUUCAACUGUUUGGAUGAGGAAAUCAGAUCUUGGGAGAUUUAAAGAACUCUCUGCUUCCGGUUUCUCUUAGGCUACGCAUAACGGACAACAAUUUGGACACGAUUGGAAACAUUGGUCAUAUUACCAAGGCUUUGACUGGAAUGUCAUAUUUGAGAUUGAUACAUAGAAUCAGAGGUGACCAGACAGUUUUUAAAAACUGAGGUUGAUUUGAUGGAGCUGGAGAA
rnacentral:lncRNA from 1 species